rnacentral:rRNA from 1 species
CCCAAAAGAUGGUGAACUAUGCUUGAGUAGGGUGAAACCGGAGUAAACUCUCAUGGAGGGCUUUAUUGGUCCUGGUGUGCAGAUUAGAAGCUUGACCUAGGUAUGCAAAGAAAAACUGAACCUUCUUGUAGCUGG